GUCAGUAGCCUCGAUGAAUUGGAGCGCGCCGUGUAGCAAGGCACGCUAACUCGAUGCCACGCAGGAGGCCACAUUGGCAACCCAUGUGUCCGCGAUCAGACGGUCCAGAUUUGUUCCUAUACGCGUGGACGAUCCAGAUCCGUUCUCUCUUCAUGCACGAUCGGACGGUCGAGAUUAAAUGCGAUGAACAGUACAUAUUCUU
rnacentral:lncRNA from 1 species